AGGACCAGCCCAUAACAAGAUGCCUUGAUUAAGGUAAGCAGAUGGCGUCAUUUGUCUGAUUUCAGGGCCAGACAUGAAAUUGCACACGGAGGAAACAAAUCCAUUGCUCACGUUUCCAGCACUGGCAAAGCUGUGGUUACAAAGUGCAUCACCACAGUGCUGGCACUGCCAGAGCCCUGCAGUGCACGGACUGUGAUUUGGGGUCCUUCCCUAAGAGACUCUGCAGAGCCCAAUGGCAUUUUGGCAGCACAGUGUGAGACACAGAGUGCUGCUCAGCUUUAGUGGCAUUUUUCCCUUCCUAAAAUCAGUUCUGCAGCAUUUUGGUCUGAACCAGAACCACUCUCUAAAUUUCUCACCUUGGCGUUUGCCCACAGAUACACGUGUGGAGGAUAAAUCCCAUUGUUUUAAAGGGUUUUUUCUUUUUCAUCCACCACUGGAUAGGUCCAUGAUGGACACUCUGGAUCUGAGCUCCCUUGGUUUUCAGUCUGGCAUAAAUAUAGAUCAUAGAUCAUGUGACUGUUUGGUAUUGAUUGAUCCCUGUAAUUAAGAAGCUCAUGUAAAUGCAGCAUCAGUUGGUCAUUUCCUAUCACCACCAGGCCCUGCUCCCAGCUCUGCCAGCAACAGACUCUGCUCUUGUCUUAAUCUCAUUGCUUUCUAUCCUGAAAGGUAGGUGCAGCACAUACAUUCUUUGGGACAGAGCAUCUUAUUUUAUUUGGACAUCUGUGAGAUCUCAAAUUAAGCCUCUGCUGAUGGCUUACUCUAUUUUUUCCCUGUGUCUGUGCUGUGAGAACGGCCUCCUUACCUAAGGGAAUGCAGGCACAGAGUGGCAGCAGCCUGCAGCACAAAGCAGCAGCACGUCACAGUGCAUUGCAGGAGGCCAAACACUCUGUGACUUCAUCCUGGAACACGAGUGUGGAGAGGAGGGCACAUGGGUGGAUGGAGAGUAAUCAGUGCAUCAGCAGCAGCAUCUCUGACCAGGAGAGAGCACUCAAAGCAGCAGUGAAUAAUGAAGUUAUUACACAGGCAGUAGUUUAAAAGCAAGGUGGAAAUGAUGCAGACUAUCCUUGCUUGGAAAUGUUGUGGUGUGGCUUAUCAGCACCAGCACUGUAGUGCAAGGAGUGUGGCUGCAGGUAAAGCAAAAAUCAGAGUUCACCCUGGAGGAGCAAAAAGGGACAGAUUACAGAGAUGCAGCCGUGCAUUGAAAGGUGUUCUGUCGUCUUUGCACACGUGCACAUCAAGUCACUCAGAGGCAGUUGUUUCCACUUGUGGCCAUGGAGGAUUUCCUGAUCACUUUGGGGUUUGGUGGCUGUGUGAUGAUGUUAGCAAUGCAAGCUAUUCUAGGAAAUGAUUGCCUUCCAGCUAAAAUCAAGUUAAGUAAACUUUGAAAGAGUGAUGUAGACACGUGGAGCUAUCUAUUUUGAUAAAAUGUGCGCAUUGGGCCAGAAUCACUCCAACAGUGGUCCUUAAAUUCUGAUUUAGAGUCAGUCAAAAGCUGCAAUAGCAGCACGCUGGAUUGCACAGCAGUUGCAGCCUCAGCCUGACUGCAGGGCAGUGCAAGGCUUCCCCAGCUCCUUUCAGCCCCAGGUGACAGCUUGUAGUCCCCACGUUCCUCUGCAAUGUUGCAUCACUAAUCCACAGCUGGGCAGCAAACUGGUGCUAUUAAUCAGGCUAAUAAUGUUAAACGCCCUGGCUCCUUUAAAUCACUCUAGCUGGUGUCCCACACCUGCAUUUCUCACCCCAUCACCUGUGCUGUUAGGGAGGGUCUGCGAGUAGCAGUUGUGGGGUGAGGAGUUGAAGCACAGUGGGGAUUGCAGCUCUAAGGAUAAGGGGUAGGCAUCCUGUUUGCUGUUGAGAUAUGGCACAGCAAAACCCUCAGAGUUGCCGUGGGGAGCAGAGGGUGCUGAGAUGCUCAAGGACUGGUGGACUAUGGCAGUCUUGCCAUCCCAUCCACUGUCACCAUGGAGAAGCAACAAUUUGGUGAGUAGUGAGGCUAAUAAAGCAACUACAGGGCUGCCUGAGAAAAGGUAUCCUUUGGGAUUUGAAUUCUUUGGGCUAAGCUAGUGGCUGGACUUGUGCUGUCCCAAAGACCAUCUUUGGCACAAGCUGUGGGUAAAAGGCACAUUGCAUAUCAGUGGGUUGCCAAUGGCAGGAGGAUCCUGGAGCAGGAGGAUCACGGAUGCAGGGCAGGAGAGUGCAGAAAGGAAACCUAGGUUGGAGAAGUGCAUCUGGGCAUGAGGAAGGUGAGUCUUUGAUCAUCUCCACUUCGGUCUCUGUUGCAGGGAUCCUUCCAGUAGGCUCUGUGAACUUCCAGCUCUGGAAGCUGGCUGGAGCAAAGCUUUCCAAGGCCACAUUUCAAAUCACUCCUGGUGCAGCGGAGUGGGCUCUGGGGCACGGCUAUGAGCAUCAGCACUCCCACUGAUUUUUUGGAUGGGUUUUGGCUGCUCAGACCUCCUGGAGCUCAGCCCAGCAUUCUCCGCGUGGUGUGGCUCCAGAAAUGGAAGCACUCCAAGUGAGCAGUUUCUUUCCCGAAAUGGGGAUUCUUCCAUCCUUUGGAUGGAAAACACUACAGACAGGGGAAAUAUUAUCUCACUGUACCGUGGUGGAGAACCAUUUAUUAACUGUGGGUACCAAAUUUAGCUGGGAGUAGUUUUAAUAGCAGUUGUGAUAUGAAUAGAAGUGUUUGGACUCUUUCCUUGCACUGUCAGGAAUCUGCAUCACAGCAUUGUGCCACUACGUGAGAAACUGCAACAAAAAAUAGCUGAGGGAGAAAAAGAAGUGAAACUGGCUAGUCUGAAUUCGUGAGAAACUCAUUCCAGGGACAGAGAUGAUAUGAAAUGGUUCCCUAUCUCAGUUACACUUGCAAUACAGCACUGAAAAAGAGCCACCCCAUUGCCUCCCACGCUCACCACGUUAUGCCCUGGUGACUUUUGUGGUGUGCUCUGGAGCUGCCAAGAAAAGUGUGGUGAAGAAAGCUGCAUAUCCAAGGCACUGCUUUGGGCACUUACACCAGGACUGGCUGCAGCAAGGCGCUGCUUAUGGGUUUCUCAUAGCUUUUAUUUGCUGGGAGCAGGGAGGCAAAGGUGGCCUGGAGAAGGAAACCACUGCAAGCUCCUAUUUACAGCAUUAUCUGCUGGUUCUGCUUUGUUUGGCCCCAUCUUACAUCUUAAACUGUGAAUAACUGCUGUGGUUUAUUACAGUGGAAAACAGCUUUCAAGAUGAUUUUGUUUCAAAGCAUUCAACAGUAUGAGUAGGUAUGAAUGUUUGGAGCAGGUUACUCUAAUGAAGAGUGAGCAGGGAGCCAUAUACCUGACUGUUCCUAUUUCAGACAAGUGUCACUUUGCUCUAGUGACAACAGGCUUACAGGAUACACUGAGCUGGAAUACAGCACACAGGUUUCUGGCUGUGAAAAAUGGUAGGCUAGCAGUGCAAGUGUCCAAACCACAGCUUUUAUACAAAUGAACUAAGAUUUCCACCCCCCUGCCCCCCUCCCCCCCCAAAAAAAAAACACAACAGACUCUAAAUAUAGGAUUUUAGGGUUUAAAUCUCUUUUGUAAAUGGUCAUUUGUUACCUCUUUGUUGGAAUAGUGCAGUUGUUUAAUAUCCAAAGCCUUUUUAAAAUACGUUGUCCCUAAAUUAUGAGUGCUAGGGAACUUGCUGCUGCCUCUAACAAAAGCUGAGAUUCUUAUGAAGUAACAUCAUAGAAAACACAAUAAGCAAACUCUGGUAUCUUGGAUCUGCUGGAAAAAUUGGAAGAGUCGGCAAUGUUGUGUGCCUCCUGCUGAACCCUGUGAGAGGGUCAGAGACCUGAGCUAUUGUAAGCAAAACAUCAAUCUAGAGACAUAUUUCCUUAUGAAGUCUGCUUCAUUGUACAACUUAAAAUGCAUUGCAUAGUAAAGCUGAGUAGAAAAGAGAAUAACUGAGUGAAUGCCAUGCAGUUGGCUUUACGUGAUGCCAAAAGCAAGGCAGUGGUGUGGAAAGAGGGCUACGGGGGGGCAGGGAUUUGGAUGCACAGGGUUUGUGUCCUGUGUGGGUCCUAUAGGCUCUCAUUUAUUUUUAACUUCCCCUUUUUUGGUCUGAAACACCACAACCUGAGCUGUUAGGACCUGCUGAGGCAUUCCCUCUUGUAGUGGCCAGUGACCUACAUGGAGAAUCACAUUGCUGCUGAAUGGUGGCAGCUGUACACAUUGCAGCUCCCAGGCCUGGUACCUGUUUUCCCAGAUGAGAUGCUGGAAAGUGUGGAAGGUAACAGGGCUCAGCCCUUGCUUCCUCCUGUUCUGGCUUGUGCAUCACAAUCCCAUGCUGGCUACAGAGCCCUGAGAAGGCAGGUGUCCUGCUCUUGCUGCAAUUCCCAAUGGGAAUCUGUCCCCAUUCCUUACUGCAAGCACAGCACUGUGCACCCUUUGGGGUGACAUUUGGCAAAAACAGAACUGGAGGCUGAAUCCGCUCUGAAAGCCACAGUGUAGUUGCAAGCUUGGUUUGGCAGGGGGAUUUCCUGCACUUGCAGAUCCCAUCCUCGCACAGGAGAUCUGACUGGAGAAAGCUGUGGGAUCCCAUUCUGAUAUUGAACCACAGGAGGAAAGCUGCUCACCUUCCUCUGCCAAAAUGAGAAUCCUGAGCCUAAAUACUGCAAGAAGCCCCAAGAGCACGGAAUAAAUCCAAGCUCACAGUUCACUGGAAUUAGGAAGUGGAGAGUUUCCUACAGGUUUUAUGUCUGGUAUGAUUUAUUAUUUAAUUUAAACGCAUAAUUUCCAACAGUUUCGUUUUGCAAGCAAUCACCUAGGCUACGUUAACCUGAUAGUGAUGUACUGCUGCCCUGGGGUGCCCUGGGAGAGACAGAGCAAGACCACAGCACUCAGAAGUGUGAUCUUUCCCUAUUUAUCUUGAUGGGGUGCAUACAACCUUGCCAGGGAAGUGGGUUCAAACAACUUAACCGUGUCACUGCCAGAUGCUGCUGUUGAAAGGGCUGGUGGUACAGCAGUAUGAGCUAUAUGGGCCGUGUCCUUUCUCCAUUCAGAGCCUCCCAGCACCCAGGGGUGCAGGUAGUCUGGCAAGGAUUCAUGGUUAUACCUGCUAAAGACUCCUGGAACAUCAUAGAGUAGGUUACAGCCAACCCUGCAGGAGAGCAGAGACCACAGCCUUUACUGGGACACGAGCUAGAGACUGGGCAGCUCCCUUUGCAUUCAGAGUUCAUCUGGCUGGCUGUCAGCAGGGUCUUGCAGAGCACAGUGCUGAGCCUCUUGUGCCAGUUUGGAGGCUCCCUUUUGCACCCAGAAGUGUGCCUGAAAAAGCCCCUGAAGGUGGCAGCUGCUACAAGGCGGAGUGAUCCUUCCCUCUGAUCACAGUUUGCUGCAGCACGGUGGGUGUUGCAGCAACUCCUUUUCAUGCAAGGCCACCUGAGCAAGGUUUCUUGGGAACCUGAAGAUAUUUAAGCUCCAACACAAAACUGUUGCUUCUUAAGGCUUUUAGGAAUUUCUGAUGCCCAAAGCAGGAGGAGUGAGGCUGUUCUCAGGCUGUCACAUCAUACAAUACAGCCCCUACACCUCUGUGCGGCAGCGAGGGCAGGCUCAAACCUUUGGCUGUUCUGAAAGCAAAGCCCACUGUCAUCUCAUUCCUGUGAGCUAAGGACAAACACCUCUUCCAACAGGAGAAACAGCCUUUGCAUCACGUUUAUAUUUAAAAACCUAACAGUGACUAAAGCAGUUUGCAUAAUAAACACAUCUAAAUUCAGAAAUAUUUGCCUGCUCUUGGUAAAAAAGGAAGUCCUCAGAUCCUCUUCUGAAGACUGCAAGAAAGUGACAGAGUUUUCCCUUUACGGGAUAUAAAUAUGCAGUGCAAAUAGGUGGCUGCUGUCUCUGCUUACAUGUUGAUGCAUCUCUUCUGAUAGCCUGGCAGUGCUGGAUUAUUUUAGCGUCAAAUCAAAGCUCAGGAUGUGUAAAGAAGCUGAGGAAAGGUACAGUCUGUGUUGCAGCACAGGAUGGUAGCUGCAAGAAGAUUGGAAGCAGUCCUGUGAGACACAUACCAGCCACGCAUACUAAACCUGCCAUUUAGUCCAUUGAAAAGGAUCUUGGUUCAGCAGGGCUGCUGCAGAACGGAAGCAAAUGCCUUCAGAUUUAAGUUGGGGCAGGGGAUUGUUCAUGUAGGAAGGUUUAUGAUUCAUCCUCACGUUAGCUGAAAGAAGAUCCAGCUUUUGUUUCCUUUUUACUCUUCGUUUCCUCGUGAGAGAAAAAUAAAAGGCCUGCUUACGCUGGAAGAAGAAUCGUGAUGGCUGAUCCCCUUUUUUAAAGCAGAAAGCUCUCAUUUGCAGUGCAGCAUUGCUUGUCCUUGACUUUAACAUCAGCCCAAAUCCAUCUGACCUGCAUCCCCCUCAGCAUCAGCUGUAUGUGGAUGCAGGGCAUGUGUACAGCACUUCGCACAAUGCAAUCUCUGCAGGGCUACUGCAGCCUCUGCAUUCCGGGCUGACACAAUCACACAGACAAACAGCGGAAGGUCGGUCACACGCUCGGGCUCCCUGCAGGACAGAUGUGUGCAGCAAGCAUGGCUCAUUUCCUGCCAAAGGGAACGGGCAGCAGCACCGUUCUGAAAUACUGAAAAUCAAACUGCGCCUCAGAGCAUUUGUGAGGGGUUUGUAGGAUUGUGGCUCGGCACAGCUCAGAGCUCCUCCAUCACAGAGCCCAUGUAAGGGAGCAGCCGGUCAGAGCCCAGCAGCCUGCCCUAAAGGGAGAUGAACAACAAGGGGAUGGCCCAGCCUGGGCUGCGCUGCACUGACUAGACUGGCAGAAGCACAGUCAUAACACCACAGCAGUGCAGGGGAUGUGAGGAGGCCGAAUUGACCCCCAGCACCUGCACGGCUCCUGGCAUGCCCCUGCUCCAUAGCUCAACCAUGUUUGUCCAGGCUGCGAAAGACCUGCUAGGCCCCUAGCCCUCUGGGCUUAGGCCCCAGCGGCACACAAGGAGAUCCAGCUGCCUGCCUGUACGGCAGGAGCUCCCGCGAAGUCCCGCAGUGUUUGCGACCACAGUUACAAAGGGCUCU